UACGUAGGGGGCAAGCGUUGUCCGGAUUUAUUGGGCGUAAAGCGCGUGUAGGCGGCCAGGUAGGUCUGCUGUGAAAGCUCGAGGCUUAACCUCGAGCUGUCGGCGGAAACCAUCUGGCUAGAGUCCGGAAGAGGAGAAUGGAAUUCCCGGUGUAGCGGUGAAAUGCGCAGAUAUCGGGAAGAACACCCGUGGCGAAGGCGGUUCUCUGGGACGGUACUGACGCUGAGACGCGAAAGCGUGGGGAGCGAACAGG
rnacentral:rRNA from 1 species